AUGAAAUGCGUGGUGACGUUUGCGUCGCUACACCCUUUUCGAUCUUUACACCUGUGCAUCGUGGAGCGGGCGUCGUUCGCGGCGCCGGCCCACACACCUUUCACACAAACUCUACAGUUUAGAACGUAACAAUUAUAAAAAAAAGA
rnacentral:misc_RNA from 1 species